UACGAAGGGGGCUAGCGUUGUUCGGAAUUACUGGGCGUAAAGCGCGUGUAGGCGGUUGUCCAAGUUGGAUGUGAAAGCCUUGAGCUCAACUCAAGAAAUGCAUUCAGGACUGGGCGACUAGAGGACCGGAGAGGAUAGUGGAAUUCCCAGUGUAGUGGUGAAAUACGUAGAGAUUGGGAAGAACACCAGUGGCGAAGGCGGCUAUCUGGACGGUUUCUGACGCUAAGACGCGAAAGCGUGGGGAGCAAACAGG
rnacentral:rRNA from 1 species